rnacentral:rRNA from 1 species
GACGAACGCUGGCGGCGUGCUUAACACAUGCAAGUCGAGCGGUAAGGCCCUUUCGGGGGUACACGAGCGGCGAACGGGUGAGUAACACGUGGGUGACCUGCCCUCAGCUCUGGGAUAAGCCUGGGAAACUGGGUCUAAUACUGGAUAUGACUCCACGGUGCAUGUCGUGGGGUGGAAAGCCUUGUGCGGCUGAGGAUGGGCCCGCGGCCUAUCAGCUUGUUGGUGGGGUGANGGCCUACCAAGGCGACGACGGGUAGCCGGCCUGAGAGGGCGACCGGCCACACUGGGACUGAGACACGGCCCAGACUCCUACGGGAGGCAGCAGUGGGGAAUCUUGCGCAAUGGGCGAAAGCCUGACGCAGCGACGCCGCGUGUGUGAAGAAGGCCUGCGGGUUGUAAAGCACUUUCAGUAGGGAAGAAAACCCGAGUGCUAAUAUCACUCGGUCUUGACGUUACUUAC